CUAACUGGGCUCUUGUUUUAUGUAUUAGCUGCUGGUUUCGCGGUCGAGGGUCGGGGGUGAGGUCUCUCUCCUGUUCAUUGCCCUUUGCCUAGCGGUGCCUUCCUGGCCGUCUGUGCUGUUGAGAGGUCAGUUGACCUUGGCCCGACUUCCCCGUGUCCAUAUCGGUCGGGUAUGCAUGUGUCUGUGUGCCGUGGCGUGGCUGCACACGGUCGUGUGUGUGCGUGCAUUAUUUGCGGCUGUUCGUCUUCGCCGUCUUAUCUUUGUUUUGAGGGAGGGGCGUUUCCCUCCCUCCCUCCCCCUCAUUGAUGGUGAUUGCGGAGAGCGAUGCCCUUAACGCGGUGUGGGAUGGAACAUCGUGUCGGCAUUCCCUCUUCUCCGUGACGUGGGUAGUGCGACGGCCCUUAAUACGCGUUGGUGCCCAUGCGCGUGCGUCUGUAGGCUCUCUGUAUCCCAUGCAUCACUGGUGAAGGUGCAUUAGAAGUAGUCGAUAACGCCGUGUGGAUGAGGGGGUGGGUCGCGGAGGGAUCCGACCAGAAAACACGAAGGGCGCACCAGUGGAAAUGGCGCAUCCCGGGCAGCAAGAGGGACGGUGGGGACAUUGGGGACGGUGAUGGGUGCGCUCGGGCUCGGCUCGCCGUGUCGUGCUGUUCGUGACAGUCGGCACCAGCUUGUCCGGUCAUGCGGUGGGCCCACCUGCCUCUCUCUUUUACUCGCCGCAUCCGCUGGCCAUCUCGCCAGGUGUGUUUUCUCCCGUGUGUGUGCAAGCCAUGAUCACCUGCUCGUGACUCAGCGGUGGGGCUCAGCCUCUCUGCUCUCCUGCCCUUCCUCUCUC
rnacentral:misc_RNA from 1 species